rnacentral:lncRNA from 1 species
AUAUAUAUUUAUAAAAUCUGUAACAGACAUCUGGUCUGAAACAAUUAUUGACCAAUUUUACAGAUGAAGCAACCAAAACAACUGAGGUCUUAGGAAGUUUAUUUAAGCCAUAUGAUAAAUAGUUCUAGCUGGCAUACUAGCAAUAUCCUGCCUCCUAUUUUACUCAAAUAUACUGCCUUGUCUCAGGUCACUUCAUGAGUACAUACAUAUAUACACACAAGUGAUCACAAACAUCUACAGGGCACAAAUCACCAUGCCUACUCUACAAAAAGCAGGGUUUUUUCUCAAUACUUCAUAUUUUUGAAAGUUUAGGGUUUGGUGGAAGAACCUUAGGAAGCUUGUUAAGAGUAGACGCUGAACAGUGGGCCUAUGGGUCUCAUUCCUGCUUCAACUGAUAUACAGAAAUGGACCUGCUCCCAUCUGUUUUAUUUCUGGCUGUGCUGGGUGUUCGUUACAGCCUGUGGGCUCUUCAUUGUGGCACAUGGGCUUAGGUGCCCUGAAGCCUGUGGGAUCUUAGUUCCCCGGCUGAGGAUCAAACCUGUGUCCCCUACAUUGCAAGGCAGAUUCUUAACUACUGGACCACCAGGGAAGUCUGCCAUCUGUUUAAGAUACUAGAGGAUUACACUUCUAAAUUAUUCUUUUGGAAAUCCAGUUCUGCUGUUAACAAUCGAAGUUUGAAAACCAUUUGCUUAAGGAAUAGGCUAUGAAUUUGAGUAUGUACAGACUACAGUAAAGAUCCUUCAUCCCAGGUCAUAGGCAUAUAGACACAGGGUCAGAAUACACAAGACCAUUGACACUACAGGUAUUUGGAGUCCAAAAUAAUCACAGAUUGUUAACCCUAAGAAUGGUUAAGUGGGAAGAUGUUGGUAGGCAGGCAGGCGCUUAAGUUACUGUCUACUAAAACAAGACUCUAUCGUUACUGAAUUGCAACUUCCCUGGGGAAACCAGGGUUAGCCUGUGAAAGUUUACAGACCUCUUUUCAGGCACAGUAGAGCUAGAACUGUGUAAGAGGACUUUAGGGAGAAAACUUUUUUCUUUCCAUCUUUUUAAGACUUAUUAUUUGGCGGUGGUGGUGCUUUGUUGCUGUGAGCAGGCUUUCUCUAGGUGCACAGUGGGAAUGACUCCCUAGUUGUGGUGUGCUGGUUUCUUUUUGCAGUAGCUUCUCUUGUUGCAGAGAACAGGUUCUAGGCCAGCAGGCUUCAGUAAUUUCAGCACUCGGAGUCUACAGCACAGGCUUAGUCCCUGUGGCACAUAGACUUAGUUACUCCAUGGCACGUAGGAUCCAACCAUACCUGGGAUCAAACCUGUGUCCCUUGCAUUGGAAGGCAGAUUCUUAAGCACUGGACCACCAGGGAAGCUCCUAGAGAGGAAAUACUUUGAUGCCCAUGUUGCACAGAACCACUUCACUACAGAAUACUCGAAUCCUGCCCUGCUGUAACUGCUCUCCAUUGAAAGGUGAACUUGGACAGUAUCUCAACAUUAAAUGAGUAUAAAAGUGUGUUGUAACAUCUUCACUAAAAUGCUAUUAGGCCAAGGUCUCUUCUAUUUAUUUUUUGCUUUUAAAGUUUUACUUUUUUAUUUUUUAACUUUGCAGUAUUGUAUUGGUUUUGCCAUGUAUCAAUAUGAAUCCGCCACAGGUAUACACGUGUUCCCCAUUCUGAACCCUCC